UACGUAGGGUGCAAGCGUUGUCCGGAAUUAUUGGGCGUAAAGAGCUCGUAGGCGGUUUGUCGCGUCUGCUGUGAAAACUCGGGGCUUAACUCCGGGCCUGCAGUGGGUACGGGCAGACUAGAGUGCGGUAGGGGAGACUGGAAUUCCUGGUGUAGCGGUGAAAUGCGCAGAUAUCAGGAGGAACACCGGUGGCGAAGGCGGUCUGCUGGGCCGUUGCUGACGCUGAGGCGCGACAGCGUGGGGAGCAAACAGG
rnacentral:rRNA from 1 species